rnacentral:rRNA from 1 species
UACAGAGGGCUCAAGCGUUGUUCGGAUUCAUUGGGCGUAAAGGGUGCGUAGGUGGCGGGGUAAGUCUGGUGUGAAAUCUCGGGGCUCAACCCCGAAACUGCACUGGAUACUGCCUUGCUCGAGUACUGGAGAGGAGAUUGGAAUUUACGGUGUAGCAGUGAAAUGCGUAGAUAUCGGGAGGAACACCAGUGGCGAAGGCGACUACCUGGCCUGUUCUUGACGCUGAGGCGCGAAAGCUAGGGGAGCAAACGGG